AGUCAAUAGAUACCCGGGUAGUCCACGCCGUAAACGAUGAAUACUAGGUGUAGGGGUUGUCAUGACCUCUGUGCCGCCGCUAAACGCAUUAAGUAUUCCGCCUGGGGAGUACGGUCGCAAGAUUAAAACUCAAAGGAAUUGACGGGGGCCCGCACAAGCAGCGGAGCAUGUGGUUUAAUUCGAAGCAACGCGAAGAACCUUACCUAGACUUGACAUCUCCUGAAUUACUCUGUAAUGGAGGAAGCCCUUCGGGGCAGGAAGACAGGUGGUGCAUGGUUGUCGUCAGCUCGUGUCGUGAGAUGUUGGGUUAAGUCCCGCAACGAGCGCAACCCUUAUUGUUAGUUGCUACCAUUAAGUUGAGCACUCUAGCGAGACUGCCCGGGUUAACCGGGAGGAAGGUGGGGAUGACGUCAAAUCAUCAUGCCCCUUAUGUCUAGGGCUACACACGUGCUACAAUGGCUGGUACAGAGAGAUGCUAAACCGCGAGGUGGAGCCAAACUUUAAACCAGUCUCAGUUCGGAUUGUAGGCUGAAACUCGCCUAC
rnacentral:rRNA from 1 species